UACGUAGGGCUAGCGUUGUCCGGAUUUAUUGGGCGUAAAGAGCGUGUAGGCGGCCUGAAAGGUCAGCUGUGAAAACUCGAGGCUCAACCUCGAGACGUCGGUUGAAACCAUCUGGCUAGAGUCCGGAAGAGGAGUGUGGAAUUCCCGGUGUAGCGGUGAAAUGCGCAGAUAUCAGGAGGAACACCGAUGGCGAAGGCAGGUCUCUGGGCCGAUACUGACGCUGAGGAGCGAAAGCGUGGGGAGCGAACAGG
rnacentral:rRNA from 1 species